rnacentral:tRNA from 1 species
GUGGAUGUAGCUCAGUUGGUAGAGCCCCGGUUUGUGGUACCGGUUGUCGUGGGUUCGAACCCCAUCAUUCACCCCA